GGGCCGUUAACUCAGUUGGCUAGAGUGCGAUCGUCACAAGGUCGAAGUCGCUGGUUCGAAUCCAGCACGGCCCACCA
rnacentral:tRNA from 1 species